rnacentral:siRNA from 1 species
UAGUUUGAUGCCUUUGUCUGUU